rnacentral:rRNA from 1 species
AUACGGAGGGAGCAAGCGUUAUUCGGAAUCACUGGGCGUAAAGGACGCGUAGGCGGGUUUGUAAGUCAGGUGUGAAAUCCUACAGCUCAACUGUAGAACUGCACUUGAAACUACAGACCUAGAGUAUGGAAGGGGCAGAUGGAAUUAGUGGUGUAGGGGUAAAAUCCGUAGAUAUCACUAGGAAUACCGAAAGCGAAGGCGAUCUGCUGGGACAUUACUGACGCUGAGGCGUGAAAGCGUGGGGAGCAAACAGGAGUAGAUACCCCAGUAGUCC